rnacentral:rRNA from 1 species
GAUGAACGCUGACAGAAUGCUUAACACAUGCAAGUCAACUUGAAUUUGGGUUUUUAACUUAGGUUUGGGUGGCGGACGGGUGAGUAACGCGUAAAGAACUUGCCUCACAGCUAGGGACAACAUUUGGAAACGAAUGCUAAUACCUAAUAUUAUGAUAAUAGGGCAUCCUAUAAUUAUGAAAGCUAUAAGCGCUGUGAGAGAGCUUUGCGUCCCAUUAGCUAGUUGGAGAGGUAACGGCUCACCAAGGCGACGAUGGGUAGCCGGCCUGAGAGGGUGAUCGGCCACAAGGGGACUGAGACACGGCCCUAACUCCUACGGGAGGCAGCAGUGGGGAAUAUUGGACAAUGGACCAAGAGUCUGAUCCAGCAAUUCUGUGUGCACGAUGAAGUUUUUCGGAAUGUAAAGUGCUUUCAGUUGGGAAGAAAGAAAUGACGGUACCAACAGAAGAAGUGACGGCUAAAUACGUG